CUGAGCGCAGCCAGGGCGCGCGUGAUUAAUGGCCCCGAGGUCCGGGGCAGCUCAGGAACGAGCCCCUUCUUGGCUCGGCCAGUGUGUAAAGGUAUCCGGGAGGAGAGCCAGGCCAUGGCAGUGGGGGCCCCGGGGACCGCGGCGGCGGCGGCGGAGGAGGUGAAGGAGGAAGAGAAGUAGGUGACGCGGACCGGACCGGACCGGACCGGAGAGGCUUAUCUCCUCUGGCCCCGGGGUUGGCACCUCCGCCGGUCCCCCGCGCCAGCAAAGUUUGAAGCCACAGGCGCCGCGCUGCGCCGCGCGCCGGUCCCUCCCCGUGCAGUUCCCUCGGUGGGGUCUGUGCUGCCGCCGCUGCCAGGGCAGGACAAAGGCUCAUUAACACGUGAUGGGACCGCGCUUCAUAAAUGGGACCGGAGCGAGAGGGAGCCAGAGACAGAGCGCGAGCGGAGGGAGAGGCAGGGACCGCGCGAGCUGGGCUAGGCGACCGGCGCCCGGGCUGGCGGAAACGGGCGGCCCCACGCCGGGCCAGGCGGGGCGAGCGGGAGGACCCAGUGAGGAGCCCCGGGAAGGGGCGAGGCUCGCGGGCAGAGGGGGCGCCAGUCCGGAUCGCUGUCGAGGGCGGGCGCUGGAGGCAGGGGACGCCGGCGCGCGCGCUGCGCGGACCGACUGACUUACUGACCGACAGACGGAGGCACACCCCGCUCCACCCCACCCUGCCUCGCCCGCAUCCCCGCGCCGGCGCCGCCUCCCUCUCGCUACUCUCUCGGCCACCCCUUCCUUCUCCACUUCUUUUCCGCCUCCGCCUCUUCUGGGCUCCCGCGGCGCCAGUGCCUUUCCCUGGCCCGGGCGGGGCGCCUCGGCUCCCUGCAGAGCUCUCCGUACAGUCAGGGGGCACGUUUCGUUCUAGCAGAGAAGCAGCCCCUGCGCCGGGUGAGAGGUGCCAAGGGAGCUUCUCCCCCGAGGACCGGGGGAUGCGAAGGCUUUUGUACAAGUUAUGGUGAACAAGCAAUAUGCCUGUGGAGAAAAAGGGAAAAAACGUUAAAAGAAAAAGACUAAACGACUUAACACAUAACCAAAGUAAGCAAAAGAUUGUCCAAAGAAAUCUGUAUCUUUGCAUCUGUGGAAAUUUGACUUUUGAAAAUGUACACCUGCCUUUGGAAAUCGUAUCUAAGUUCAUACAAAUAAAAAAGGGAAAUCUUUGAAUGAUUUUAGUCCUCAGCUAAGGAAACUAAUUAUGAGUAAUCUAUGAUCCAUUUUUAUUGAUGAAAUAAUUAGAGAGGGAACAGUCUGCCCAGAGUCGUGUAUUUAAGUGCUUUGGGAUACAUUUCAAUAUAUUUAUAACUUGUAGGUAUUUUUGAAAGAUACUUGCCAGCUAUACGCAGUGUAAAUUGCAUAAUUGCCAGGGUAACUCUGUAAGAUAAUUUGCAGUAGAUUUGCAUUACUUGGGCCUACUGCAACAUUUCCAGUUUAGUUUGCCAUUUCCUGGGUUCAUCUCCUGUGAUACAUUAUUUUAUGGUUUUGAGAAAAGAAGAACAGAAACAGAAACAUUUCCAGCUUAAAAAAAUAAUAGUCUGGGAUGUUACUUUUACUUUUUUCUGUUCCUUUACACUCAGUAAUCAUGAGUUCCUUCACAAUGGUAUUGAAAGACUUGGUUAGCAAUGCUGUAAAACUUUGCAUAGACUUUGUACAUAGAAUUAAGAGAAAAGGGUGUGCAGUUUUAAAUUUAUGUCUGCAUACUGGGUAAGUACAUAUUAUGUCUUGAAGCCACUUUUCUUUGCUGAUAUAGACCAAAGGGAGAGCAAGUAAGUUUCCGGAAAAAGUGCAGAGAAGCCCGGGAUUGUAGACUGGAAAUCCUCGAGAGCUUCUCCACUCCUUAUGCUCACUUUCAGGGCUAGACUACACUGUUCUAUUCCAGCCAAAUAAAAAUUGCUUGAUUUUAAAGAUCUCCUGUGAGGGACCACUUCAUCAUGAGCAGUCUCCCUGG
ensembl:lncRNA